rnacentral:rRNA from 1 species
UAGGGAAUCUUCCACAAUGGACGCAAGUCUGAUGGAGCAACGCCGCGUGAGUGAAGAAGGUUUUCGGACCGUAAAGCUCUGUUGUUGGUGAAGAAGGAUAGAGGUAGUAACUGGCCUUUAUUUGACGGUAAUCAACCAGAAAGUCACGGCUAACUACGUGCCAGCAGCCGCGGUAAUACGUAGGUGGCAAGCGUUGUCCGGAUUUAUUGGGCGUAAAGCGAGCGCAGGCGGAAGAAUAAGUCUGAUGUGAAAGCCCUCGGCUUAACCGGGGAAUUGCAUCGGAAACUGUUUUCUUGAGUGCAGAAGAGGAGAGUAGAACUCCAUGUGUAGCGGUGGAAUGCGUAGAUAUAUGGAAGAAUACCAGUGGCGAAGGCGGCUCUCUGGUCUGCAACUGACGCUGAGGCUCGAAAGCAUGGGUAGCGAACAGGAUUAGAUACCCUGGUAGUCCAUGCCGUAAACGAUGAGUGCUAAGUGUUGGGAGGCUUCCGCCUCUCAGUGCUGCAGCUAACGCAUUAAGCACUCCGCCUGGGGGAGUACGACCGCAAGGUUGAAAC